rnacentral:rRNA from 1 species
ACGGAGGAUGCGAGCGUUAUCCGGAUUUAUUGGGUUUAAAGGGUGCGUAGGCGGUUUAAUAAGUUAGAGGUGAAAUCCCGGGGCUCAACUCCGGAACUGCCUCUAAUACUGUUUGACUAGAGAGUAGUUGCGGUAGGCGGAAUGUAUGGUGUAGCGGUGGAAUGCUUAGAGAUCAUACAGAACACCGAUUGCGAAGGCAGCUUACCAAACUAUAUCUGACGUUGAGGCACGAAAGCGUGGGGAGCAAACAG